GGCCCUGUAGCUCAGGGGUUAGAGCACUGGUCUUGUAAACCAGGGGUCGUGAGAUCAAACCUUGCGAGGGCCU
rfam:Callithrix jacchus chromosome 4, whole genome shotgun sequence